UAAGGAAUAUUGGACAAUGGUCGCAAGACUGAUCCAGCCAUGCCGCGUGCAGGAAGACGGCCCUAUGGGUUGUAAACUGCUUUUGUACCAGAGAAAACCUAUCUACGUGUAGAUAGCUGAUAGUAUGGUAAGAAUAAGCAUCGGCUAACUUCGUGCCAGCAGCCGCGGUAAGACGAAGGAUGCAAGCGUUAUCCGGAUUCAUUGGGUUUAAAGGGUGCGUAGGCGGGCUUGUAAGUCAGUGGUGAAAUCUCUCAGCUUAACUGAGAAACUGCCAUUGAUACUGCAGGCCUAGAGUAUAGAUGACGUUGGCGGAAUAUGACAUGUAGUGGUGAAAUACUUAGAUAUGUCAUAGAACACCGAUUGCGAAGGCAGCUAACGAAACUAUAACUGACGCUGAGGCACGAAGGUGCGGGGAUCAAACA
rnacentral:rRNA from 1 species